rnacentral:rRNA from 1 species
AGUAACGCGUGGGUAACCUGCCUCAUACAGGGGAGUAACAGUUAGAAAUGACUGCUAAUACCGCAUAAGCGCACAGUGCUGCAUGGCACAGUGUGAAAAACUCCGGUGGUAUGAGAUAGACCCGCGUCUGAUUAGCUAGUUGGUGGGGUAACGGCCUACCAAGGCGACGAUCAGUAGCCGGCCUGAGAGGGUGAACGGCCACAUUGGGACUGAGACACGGCCCAA